rnacentral:rRNA from 1 species
CACAGAGGUCUCAAGCGUUGUUCGGAUUCAUUGGGCGUAAAGGGUGCGUAGGCGGCGCGGUAAGUCGGGUGUGAAAUCUCGGAGCUUAACUCCGAAACUGCAUUCGAUACUGCCGUGCUUGAGGACUGGAGAGGAGACUGGAAUUUACGGUGUAGCGGUGAAAUGCGUAGAUAUCGUAAGGAAGACCAGUGGCGAAGGCGAAUCUCUGGACAGUUACUGACACUGAGGCACGAAGGCCAGGGGAGCAAAACGGGG